rnacentral:rRNA from 1 species
CCUAUCUGCCGUGGGUGUUCGAAGCUUGAGAGGAUCUGUCCCUAGUACGAGAGGACCGGGAUGAACAUACCUCUGGUGGAGCUGUUGUGGCGCCAGCCGCAGUGCAGCGUAGCUACGUAUGGACGGGAUAACCGCUGAAGGCAUCUAAGCGGGAAACCCACCUCGAAACGAGUACUCCCUUGAGAGCCGUGGAAGACCACCACGUUGAGAGGCUGGGUGUGCAAGCGCGGUGACGCGUUGAGCUUACCAGUACUACUCGCUCAAUCGAGCUUGAUCGCUCU